GCAUGGGGACACUGCUCUCCCUAUUUGGUUGUUUGGGGAAGGGAAACCAGCAGGGGGAGAGGGUCCUGAGAAGGAGAUAAAAUGGCUUAAGCAAUAAACCAUAGGAGAGGGUUUACAACCAAGAAUCUCAAGUGGAAGCCAGUAUCUCCUUCUGUCCUGGAGUUACAUAUCUUACACCUACUCCUUUGGUGGAACCUGAAGGGUGGAUUUGGACAAAAUGAAAGAGAAAGCUCGCAGUCUCCGUGAAAACCAUCUGAGGUUUCUGGCAGGCAGACAGAUCGAGACUGUGGAUUAGAUUCUACAUUAAUUAAAUCACAGGAGUCUAUUCAAGAGUGACACUGCCAUACAGCAUCCCAGGUAAACAGUGAACACCGUUGAAAAUGAGCACAAACAGCCUCUGGAUUUCUGAGUGUUUCCUUAAACCUAAAAUUCUCACUAGUAAAGGCAGAUAUACCUCUCAUUUUGUCCUGGUGCAGAAUGAGCUCCUGGAUAAUUUAUACUUCAUGGACUCACACAGCAUCCACCCCUUCCUUACCUGCAAGGCAUAGAGUGCUGCUGUGUUUCCACAACAAUUCACUUCAUAUCACAUUA